GGGCUUGAAACGGAAUAGACAGCUAUGCGUUUGGUAAGAGACAAGCAGUGGGCAUACACUAGAAAUAGCGAAAAAAUAUAAACGGCGAGAUAGAUUUCUCUCCUGCUUAUGCAAUGGCUAUCGCAGCCUAAGCGUGAGCCGAGAGACCAGGCUCUUAGGAACAGAACAUCCUGGUAAUUUGUUUUCCUCGUUUUCUCAAAAUGAGGUGGUCCCAAAGGCGGGCAGGUUUUUACCUGUACAUUUGUUUUCCUCGUUUUCUCAAAAUGAGGUGGUGGUCAAGAUGACCUUUCCAGUCAUCCCCCUGUGACGGCGACACAUAUAAAACGUUCUGAGGAAGAAAACCUCUUGCCAAAAAUUGAAAAGCUUGUAUAAUCUCUUAUGGGAUGGUAGUUUGGACGUGGGUUCGACUCCCACCAGGUCCACCA
rnacentral:tmRNA from 1 species